UUAAAUUUUUCUUUUUUCAGGGGCAUAUGGUUUGAUAACUUAUUGUAAUCUACAUAGAUGGGUCCUGUAAUAAAUGAAACACUUUUAGUCAAAUGAAAAUCGUAUAAACAAACCAAUGGCGUAAAUUCAACCGACUAAAGUCUCCCCCAAAAACCCAACCUCCGCUGGGGUUUUAGCUGUGGCGCCUGCUGCAGUUUGAUUUUGAUAGUACCACUCUGCCUGAAUAAUCUGUGGCACCCCCACGUUUUCUCCAAUCCGACCCGAAUAGAUUUGUUUUACAAACGACUAGGAAGAUGGAGCAGUGGAAGGAUUUCAAUCUUUCAAAGCAAGAGUUACAAAAAGGCCUCAUUAUCGAAGAAUCUGAAGUAUGCGAAGACGACGUAUUCGAUCGUACCCUAGCCGUCAAACUCUGGACAAACAGCACCUAUAAUGCAAAAGCGUUCAAGCAAACUACAAUUCAAUAUUCAUGGAAGUUGAAGAAUCCUGUUGAAGUUGAAGACCUAGACAAAAACCUUUAUCUCUUUAGGUUUUCAACAAAGAAAGACGCAGAGAAUGUGUUGAAGAAUGGACCAUGGAGUUUCAAAAAUAAUGUUAUCAUUCUUCAGAAAAUCACUGGCAAAGAACAGCCUGUAGAGUUGGAUAAUAUGCAUAAGAUGUCGUUUUGGGUUAGGAUCUAUGAGUUGCCAUUUAAAUUGCGUUCGGAUUCGAUCGCGAAAAAGAUUGGAGAUGUUAUUGGGGUUUAUGAAGAAACUGAUCAACAAGAUGUUUACAGAAUGGGGAGGUUUCUUCGGAUUAAAGUAUUGUUGGAUUUGAAAAAGCCGUUGAUGAGAGGGACCGUGGUUUGUUAUCAGAGGAAGAAUCUUCGAGUUUUCUUUGAGUAUGAGAGACUUCCUGCAUUUUGUUUUAAAUGUGGGAGGUUAGGUCACCAAAUGAAUAAGUGUGAUUUAAAUGUAGAUGAAGAAAAGGAGGGUUGUGAGGAAGUAUUUUUUUUGACUCAAGGUUGUGAGGAAGUGGCCGAGGAAAAGGAAUACCCAUUUGGGCCGUGGUUGCGGGCAACUACCAAACCGAAAAUUACCUAUGAUGAGAAGAAGGAUAGUAGUUCUAGUAGUUGUAGUAAAUCCCUCUUUCCCUGCACAAGCAGUAGCAAAGUUGAAGAAUCAGAUCCGAGAAAAGGGGACGAUGUGGAAAUGGAACAAAACAAAGGCCUCAUUGUUGAUGAAGCAGAAGCGUAUAAAGAUGAGUUAUUCCGUCGUACCCUAGCCGGCAAGCUCUGGACCAACAACACCUAUAAUGUAAAAGCCUUCAUGCAAACUACAAUCCAAUAUUCAUGGAGGUUGAAAAAUCCAGUUGAAGUUGAAGACCUAGACAAAAACCUCUACCUUUUUAGGUUUUCAACAAAGAAAGAUGUUGAUAAUGUGUUGAAGAAUGGACCGUGGAGCUUCAAAAAUAAAGUUAUCAUUCUUCAGAAAAUCACGGGCGAAGAACAGCCUGCAGAGUUGGAUAUGCUCAAAAAAGUCUCGUUUUGGGUAAGGAUUUAUGAACUGCCAUUGAAAUUGCGUUCAGAUUCGAUUGCGAAAAAGAUUGGAGACUUAAUUGGAGUACAUGAAGAAACGGAUCAGCGUGACGUUUACAGAAUGGGGAGGUUUCUUCGGAUCAGGGUUUUACUGGAUUUGAAUAGGCCUUUGAUGAGAGGUACUAUGAUUCGAUACCAAGAGAGGAACCUUCAAGUUUUCUUUAAAUAUGAGAGACUUCCUACAUUUUGCUUUAAAUGUGGAAGGAUAGGUCACCAAAUAAUGGAGUGUGAUGAAAAUAUAGAAGAAAAAGAGAGUUGUGAGGAGGUUGAGGAAAAGGAACACUCAUUUGGGCCAUGGCUAAAGGCAUCUCCGCUACCGAAAAUUACUUAUGGGCAGAAGAAGGAUAAUAGUUCUAGCAGCUGUAGAAAAUCCCUCUUUGCCUGCACAAGUAGUAGCGAAGUUGAAGAAACGGAACCGACAAGAGACAAAGAAACGGAAGUGGAACAGAACAAAGGUGAGGCUAAAGGCAAAGAACCUUGGCUGGACUCUGAAGAAAGGGAGAAGGAGGUAACCAACAAAGAAGCGGAAAGGAUGGUUGAGUCCUUGGAAACAUUAACCCUCUCAAUAAACAUGACUGUGGGGGAAGACAAAGACCCUGGAAGCUAGAAGAAAAAAUGUUUUUUUUUUUUCAAUAUUUUUUUUUAUGGUUAAUAGUUCUUGUUGUGGAUUCACUUCUUUAAUACUUCCCCAUAGGAUAUACAAUUCGUACAAAUAUAAAUAGUUGAUAGUCCUUGUGAGUGUGUGUACUGUGUUAUAUGCAGUCUAUGUUCUGAAACAAUUGGGUGGGUUUUUCACAUUGCAAGGCUAUUGAACCACUUUCUUGUUACGGGACUCUGAAAGGAUAUGACCAGUUACUUAAUCUGGUCCUCGACGAAGCUGUUGAGUUUUUGACAGGAAGCAAAACUCUUGAAGUUAGAAGCUGACUUUAUUGUUGCCGUACUCUAUUUUUGUUUUGUUGUACAAAUAGGGGGAAACUGUUGAUGCUAUAUGUUUCCCUCUAUUUUCAUCCCUUUACAAAAUGUCUUUUAAGGGUGAUGAUAGUUUAUUUUUGUAAUAGUUCGACAUGGUUAAUGUUUCUUGAGAGUGAAAAACAUUUUCCUUCUUUACAUGUUAGCUAAAUUUGAAAUUUACAUCAAAUUUGCAAAUGCAACAUCAUGUAUGUAUUGCAAAA